rnacentral:piRNA from 1 species
AUCCUCCUCGUGUCAGGUGUGCAUAGUGCAGC